AAUAAUCAAUCAUUUAAAAAAAAAGAAGUCAUUCAGUGUCCAAAUCCUCAAAGCACAUAUACUUGAUCAUAAGUAGCAACACGUUGGGUUUGUAAUAGACGAGGUGGUUAAACCAA